GAUGAACGCUGGCGGCGUGCCUAAUACAUGCAAGUCGAGCGAAUGGAUUAAGAGCUUGCUCUUAUGAAGUUAGCGGCGGACGGGUGAGUAACACGUGGGUAACCUGCCCAUAAGACUGGGAUAACUUCGGGAAACCGGGGCUAAUACCGGAUAACAUUUUGAAUCGCAUGGUUCGAAAUUGAAAGGCGGCUUCGGCUGUCACUUAUGGAUGGACCCGCGUCGCAUUAGCUAGUUGGUGAGGUAACGGCUCACCAAGGCAACGAUGCGUAGCCGACCUGAGAGGGUGAUCGGCCACACUGGGACUGAGACACGGCCCAGACUCCUACGGGAGGCAGCAGUAGGGAAUCUUCCGCAAUGGACGAAAGUCUGACGGAGCAACGCCGCGUGAGUGAUGAAGGCUUUCGGGUCGUAAAACUCUGUUGUUAGGGAAGAACAAGUGCUAGUUGAAUAAGCUGGCACCUUGACGGUACCUAACCAGAAAGCCACGGCUAACUACGUGCCAGCAGCCGCCGUAA
rnacentral:rRNA from 1 species